UACGGGGGGAGCAAGCGUUGUUCGGAUUUACUGGGCGUAAAGGGCGCGUAGGCGGCCACCGCAAGUCGAUUGUGAAAUCUCCGGGCUUAACCCGGAAAGGUCAACCGAUACUGCGGGGCUAGAGUACGGAAGGGGCAACUGGAAUUCUUGGUGUAGCGGUGAAAUGCGUAGAUAUCAAGAGGAACACCUGCGGCGAAGGCGGGUUGCUGGGCCGACACUGACGCUGAUGCGCGAAAGCUAGGGGAGCGAACGGG
rnacentral:rRNA from 1 species